UCACAUGGAAUGUGUAGGGAAAAAGCUUGCUUGAUUAUUCCUUUGUUUUGAAUUAGUUUACAUUGUAGGAUUAGUUGUUUUUGAUUUCUUUAAUUUAGUUUUGCAUUUAAUUUAAUUUAACUGUGUUAGAUAGUUGAUUGUAACAGUGUUGGUGUCUAGUAUUUUAAUUUGUUUUAAUGUUGUCUAAUGUGUUUGGUCGUGUU
rnacentral:lncRNA from 1 species